rnacentral:rRNA from 1 species
GCGGCGAGGUGAGUAACGCGUGGGUAACCUGCCUCAUACAGGGGGAUAACAGUUAGAAAUGACUGCUAAUACCGCAUAAGACCACGGUACCGCAUGGUACAGUGGUAAAAACUCCGGUGGUAUGAGAUGGACCCGCGUCUGAUUAGGUAGUUGGUGGGGUAACGGCCCACCAAGCCGACGAUCAGUAGCCGACCUGAGAGGGUGAUCGGCCACAUUGGGACUGAGACACGGCCCAG